rnacentral:rRNA from 1 species
GAACUGUGCAAAACGUUAUUCGGGAAUCACUGGGGCUUAAAGGGUGCGUAGGCGGGUUUAAAGGUCUGAUGUGAAAGCCCACGGCUCAACCGUGGGAAUUGCGUUGGAAACCAUGAACCUUGAGGAGAUCAGAGGUGAGCGGAACUGAUGGUGGAGCGGUGAAAUGCGUUGAUAUCAUCAGGAACACCGGUGGCGAAAGCGGCUCGCUGGGAUCUUUCUGACGCUGAGGCACGAAAGCUAGGGGAGCGAACGGGAUUAGAUACCCCGGUAGUCCUAGCUGUAAACGAUCAGUACUAGUCCGUGGGGACUCUCACAUCCUCUCGGACGUAGCGAAAGUGUUAAGUACUGCGCCUGGGGAGUAUGGUCGCAAAGGCUG